GAUGAACGCUGGCGGCGUGCUUAAUACAUGCAAGUCGAACGGAGACGUGUAGCAAUACUGUCUUAGUGGCGAACGGGUGAGUAACGCGUUGGUGACCUGCCCCGAAGAGGGGGAUAACAGUCCGAAAGGAUUGCUAAUACCCCAUGUGGUCGUUUGGAUUAGAUGCCUUACGACUAAACGGAUUUAUUCGCUUCGGGAGGGGCCUGCGUCCCAUCAGCUAGUUGGUAGGGUAAUAGCCUACCAAGGCGAUGACGGGUAGGGGACCUGAGAGGGUGGCCCCCCACAAUGGAACUGAAACACGGUCCAUACACCUACGGGUGGCAGCAGUAGGGAAUAUUGGUAAUCUGGGAAACCGGGAACCAGCAACGCCGCGUGCGCGAUGAAGGCCUUCGGGUUGUAAGCGCUUUUAAAGGGAUGAGAAGGACAGUACCUUAGAAUAAGCCUCGGCUAACUACGUG
rnacentral:rRNA from 1 species